rnacentral:rRNA from 1 species
UGCCAGCAGCCGCGGUAAUACAGAGGUCCCAAGCGUUGUUCGGAUUCACUGGGCGUAAAGGGUGCGUAGGUGGUCAGGUAAGUCUGAUGUGAAAGCUCUGGGCUCAACCCAGAAAUGGCAUUGGAUACUAUCUGGCUAGAGGAAUGGAGGGGGGACUGGAAUACUUGGUGUAGCAGUGAAAUGCGUAGAUAUCAAGUGGAACACCAGUGGCGAAGGCGAGUCCCUGGACAUUUCCUGACACUGAGGCACGAAAGCUAGGGGAGCAAACAGGAUUAGAUACCCUGGUAGUCCUAGCUGUAAACUGUGCACGUUUGCUGUAAAAGGAAUCGACCCCUUUUGUGGCGAAGCUAACGCGUUAAACGUGCCGCCUGGGAAGUACGGUCGCAAGAUUAAAACUCAAAGGAAUUGACGGGGGCCCGCACAAGG